UAUUGAAAGUCCAAGGGUAGUUGAUAUUUACUUUGCCCUAAUUCUUCAGUAUUUUAAUUAGGCUUGUGUUGCCUAUAAAUAUUUUACCCUUUGUACCUUUAUUAUCAUAAGAAAACAAUAAGAAAUAUCAGCAAUGUGGUUUUUCUCCCUGUACUAGGGUUUCCACAAAAAUUUGUGUUUGUUCUACAUCUCUACUUUCAAUAUGGUACCAAAGUGGGAUAUCGAAGAAACCCUAGACAAUCGAACACUUGAUGGAACCUAGCAAAAGGGGCAACCGUCGACAUCAAUGUAGUCGUCCCUGCUGCAGUUGAUGCCCAGAUCAACACUGCCAUAGAUGAGUGGUUCCAACAUUUUCAGAAACCACCGGCCAGCCUUCUUGCCCAGCUGCAACCGUUUGGCAACCAGCAGCCUUCAGCCGCAUAGGCCGCUCAUGCGCUGCCGGUCUAGAUUCCCUCAUGCACCACCUGGCCCUCACGCACUACUGCCCACACCUACUCCUUCAUUGUAUGCACCGCCACACACACCCUCACAUGCACUGUGGCAUGCCCUGCCACCAGGACUUGCCCAACCGUCGACUUGGUUCAGUCUUAUGCUGCUGGUGUGAUUGCGGCACCUCCUCUUGGGUUAGCUGCAAACCCUAUUGGCUGCCCCGAAGUUGGAAAUCCAGCCCACUUGACCUUUGAGGUAGGUGAGCCCUCAACACAAUCAAGGGCCCAUGAGUAGGGUCCGUCUCCCAGUAUUGCUCAACAUCAUCUGGACAUGUUAUGCAAGCAAAAUGAAGUGAUUGAGGCAACGCUAGGGGCUCCGUCCAAAAAUCGUUUGACCUCACUGGUGUAUUGUGAAAAUCCGUCUAUUAAAACGAUCCUUGAAGAGGGCCACAAUUUUGGUUUCUUGACAGGGAAGAUACCUCGUCCUACACUGGGAAACCCUUAGGAACGAUAUUGGAAAGGGGAGGACUCUCUUAUUCGGUCCACAUUAAUUGACAGUAUGGAACCACAAAUCGGCAAGCCCUUACUAUAUAUUGCAACCGCUAAGGACAUUUGGGAUACGAAUCAGCAAUUGUAUUCCAAGAGUUGGAAUGCUUCUCGUUAUACACUCUGCAAAAACAAGUUCAUGAAUGUAAACAAGGGGCAAUGGAUGUGAUAUCCUUCUUUACCAGGCUUUCCCUUAUCUGGCAGGAAAUGGACCUAUACAGAGAAAUUGCAUGGAAUUGUCCCAAUGAUGGCAUACAAUACUCUCCUAAAUUUGAUAUUGUUUGCGGACGUAUACUGAACCAGAGACCUAUAGCCUCCCUGAUGAAGGUUUGUUAUGAGGUUUGCCUUGAGGAAGAUCGUACCAGUGCUAUGAGUAGUCUGAUCCUUCUUUACCAGGCUUUCCCUUAUCUAGCAGGAAAUGGACCUAUACAGAGAAAUUGUAUGGAAUUGUCCCAAUGAUGGCAUACAAUACUCUCCUAAAUUUGAUAUUGUUUGCGGACGUAUACUGAACCAGAGACCUAUAGCCUCCCUGAUGAAGGCUUGUUAUGAGGUUUGCCUUGAGGAAGAUCGUACCAGUGCUAUGAGUAGUCUGAUAAACCCCGUUAUUGAUUUUGUUGCCUUCAGUGCGAGGGCACUAGUCAUGAAAAUGAGAAGCAUAGUGGAAAACUAAUCCUUGUUAGUGAAAAUUGCAAGAAACAGUGGCAUACCAAGGAGCAGUACUAAAAACUACAUGGUCGUCCUCCAGAAGGUAAGAAACGCCCUUUCGACGACAAAUAGAACACGGGGCGAGCUUAUGUGAGUGAGUCUACUAGCGCUUCUCAGGUACUUAGGGAUCCUAAUCCGACUACACUAGAAGCUAUUGUCCAGUUAGGUAUACCUCAGUCCUUCAGUCUUUUUGGUGUUGAUGGAAAAAAUCUAUAAAUUCUGGAUUCUAGACUCUGGUGCCACUAAUCAUUUAACAGGAUUCUCAGAAUAUUUUGUGUUAUAUUUCGUGUGCUGGUAAUGAGAAGAUACAAAUAGCAUAUGGUUCCUUGGCUCCCUUUUGCCAAGAAGGGGCUAAUUUUUCCUUUUGAAGGAUUGAAUUUACACAAUGUGUUGUAUGUGCCCCAAAUUUUCUAUAAUCUAAUGUGUAUAAGCUUACUCAUGAGUUGAACUGCAAAGCGAUAUUUGUACCUGAUUCUAUUUUGUUUCAGAACUUGAGCUCGGGGAGGAUGAUUGACAUUGCUCGACAAAGUAGGGGACUCUACCUGCUUGAUGAUGAUAUAGCCCACGGCUAAAAAUAAGUUAUCUUUUUAGUUCUUAAAGCGAUUCAAAGAACGUUUAGUCAUGGGCUUUCUCUUUCUUAUAUAUUAUGUUUUCUUAUUGUUUCAACUUCUUUCAGAAGUAGUUCUCAUUCUCUUUUCAGUUUUGCCUAUUGCUAGAUGUCAUAAGUAGGACAAGAAUCUCUUUCCGUGAGUCUGAGUAUGAGUGACUGAAAGAGGAAUUUCCUCGAUAGGUUAGUAGGUAUAGAAAGGUAAGAAAAAAAUUCCUAAGCGAGUAUGAUCUCGAAAUCAAGGGAAAGAGAAGUUCAUGACAUCCAGCUUUUUCCAUUCAUUCCUUUCAGUUGAUGGACCGAGACUGCCCUAUCCCCCAACUUUCAUUAUAUGAAAAUACUUAUUUCCUCA